rnacentral:rRNA from 1 species
GACGAACCGUGCGAACGUUAUUCGGAAUCACUGGGCUUAAAGCGCGUGUAGGCGGGACGGCACGUCGGUCGCUGAAAGCCCCCGGCUCAACCGGGGAACGGGCGCCGAUACGACCGUCCUGGAGGGACGUAGGGGGACCUGGAACUUCCGGUGGAGCGGUGAAAUGCGUUGAGAUCGGAAGGAACGCCCGUGGCGAAAGCGAGGUCCUGGACGUCUGCUGACGCUGAGACGCGAAAGCCAGGGGAGCGAACGGG